CAAAGACGAUUCAAUGGAUCUUUGGAUUAUGAGAUUAAAUUGGCCUCUAACAUUGACAUCUCUGAUGCUGAACUGGUUUUCUUCCCUGUUAUACGCUAUCAUCACUACUUCAUCAUGUGCUUGAACUUCAAGAAAAGGGUUGUCCAAGUAGUUGACAAUAGAACACUGGGCAAGAAUACCAACUUUCUACAAAGAUAUGAUAAUUGUGAUCAAAACCUAGUUAAUGCAUUCAAAGAGUAUUGCAAAUUUAAAAGGAUCACAACUUU